CAGGCUGGCUGGGUGAUCGCUGAUCUUGUGUUCCGGCUUCGCCGGUACACAAGAUUCAGAGGAAAGUCCGCACUCCAGAGAGCACGGCGCCGGGUAAUCCCCGGGAUGAAGUAAUUUGUCGGAUCGGGCCACAGAGACAUACCGCCGAAGGACCGCAAGGUCCAGGCAAGGGUGAAAAGGUAGUGUAAGAGACUACCGGCGUCCGCAGCAAUGCGGCGGCCAGGCAACCCCCGCCGGGAGCAAGGCCAAGCAGGAGUGGUACCUGUCUGAGGACAGGUGGGAAGCGGCUCGUUUCCCUGGCUUUAGCUGAAAAGCGAAGGUCGAAGCUCCGGGUAGGCUGCUAGAGCCGUGCGGAGACGCACGGUCGAGAGGGAUGAUCGCCGGGACCGGGUUUCCGGUCUUACAGAAUGCGGCUUAUAAGCCGGCCUGGGAU
rnacentral:RNase_P_RNA from 1 species